AGAGGGGAAGAGAGAGGAGACUGGGCGGUGAUCUAGGUACAAGGUUGGCCAACAGCUCAGGAGGAGCUGAGGAGCCAGAGGUGCAGGCCAUAAUGAGCAUGGAGUGGGUGCUGGUGGGGCAAAACAAUGCACAGGGCCUGAGACAUGAGGAUCAUCCUCCCACCAGGGCCAUGAUGGGGGCAUCCUACAGGAUGUCCAAGUUGUCUAAAAAUUCAGAUCUCCUGGAAACCUCUGAGGCCAAUUGUUCGGGCUCUAGAAAUUGGGGAAGUUGGGAAUUUUGAGCUCCAGAAGUUAUCCCUCCAAAGUGCCACCAGAGAUGUUCCUGGCCACCUGUGACAUUUCCUCAGAAUCUGUAUUAAAUUCAAGGUUCUUGAACCAUGGCUUGAUUAGAAAAGAACCCAUGAAUACUGAGGGAAGGGAAGACAGAUUUAUCUGAACCUAAACCCUCACACCAAUGAAUCACAUGUCCUUAUUAAAAAAUGAUUAGUUCAUAUCCAGGGUGUAAUCUAUGGGCCAGAUACAUUUUAAUAGAAGGAUCUAGAAGAAAGAAAAGGUCUAAUAGGUAUGUCUUUGUGUCUUUGCUCCUAAGUCCUGGAGAAACUUGGGUGGAAUCCUCCUGUUCUCCCUGCUGAGAGGUGUUGGGCUCGUGUUUGGUUGCCUCUGGUGACAGGCAACUUGCCACCAAAAGGCAGCCUAGUCACACUUUGGCUGGCUCUGACCAUUGUCCAAUAACUCUUUAUUGCUAUGCAUUCCCCAGCUGUCACCAGCAUCUGUUUUGGACGGGGAAAGGGAAAGGACUAGGAGAAUUCAGAUGCAGGGGGUCAUCCUGACACAGGAAGAGAACAGAACUCUUCUGAGGGUGAAGGAGGAGGUCUCGAUUCCCUUCUCAUGUCAUAGUUAGUGCUCCAGUCUGUGCCGUUACAGGGUGCUCCCUUCUGUAAAGAGUCAUAGGGUGCUCCCUCCUGUACAGUCAGAGGGUUCUGCCUUCUGUGCAGUCACAAAGUGCUCCCUUCCCUUCCUUACAUAGUCACAGGGUGCUCUUAUGUGACCGUUACAGGGCACUCCUAGUCCUAGGAGUGCCAGGUACCACACAAUUGCUUUUAUUUGCUUUUUUUUUUUUUUUUUGCCUAACAAUAUGGUCAUGAGAACAUUUUACUCGCUGUUUGUUUUUGCUUUUGUUUUAUGAGACAAGAUUUCUCUGUGUAGCUCUGGCUGUCCUGGAACUCUCUCUGUAGACCAGGCUGGCCUCAAACUCAAGAGAUCCACCUGCCUCUGCCUCCUGAGUGCUGGGAUUAAAGGUGUGCGCCACCACCACCUGACUACUCACUUUUUAAGAUAAGUGACCCUUUCCGAUGGCAGUAACAGGACUUCGGUGUACGAUCCCUUCCAACAGCUGUCUACAGUAAUGAUCUGGACAGAGAGUGUAAGUGAUUAUUCAUGGGUUCUUUUACACUAAGGCAUAUGACAGUAUAUAUGACAGUGAGACUUCACUGGCGGGACUCAUUUGGGAGACAUUCAGUGGAACCCAGGGCACUCCAGAACGACGGUCUUAGUACCCCACCUUAGAGAGGUCACCAGAAUCCCAGCCAAUGAAAUCUUUCCUAGAGGAGGUGUGCCAGGUCUACUUUUAAAAAACGAGUGCGCCUUCCAGCAUAAACAGCACUUGGCCUGUUUGGAGUGUGAGUGGAUGUUGUUGUGAUGCCUGGAGACAGUUUGUUCUUUUGGUGGAUUUGCAGCUUCCCUGGAAAUAUUGUUCCUCAGGAUGUGCUCCGUGUCUCCCUCCUUUGUUGUGAUAUGGGAUUCCCUCUCAGCCAGCACAGAUGAGUCAACACUCUACAAACUUUGUUCGUGCCCGGUCUAUCAAUAACCCCAGCAUAGAUAGAUGAGUGCUCUGAAGAGCCAAAAGGAAGGUGAGGGUAGGCUCUCUGGAGAGAUGGGAGAAUAAACAGCAAAUUAUCUGAGAAACAUUUCAGAACUCCUGACAAAGUGCUGUGGUGAUCAAGAUGAAGAGCUCACACAGACAACAAAUAACGGCAUCGAGAGUAUGGGGAGAUUGUGUAACACAGGAGUACCAAACCAUCUAACCGUCUCAAUGCAAGCCCUGUUUCCAUAGCAUCCCAUACUACUGCCACUAUUGACACUGACAAUGAAAGUCUUUCUUGUCAUUAAAGAAAUUAAAGAGACCUCUGUGGACCCCUGGAGGUGGCUGCUACAUGCUGUCUUUCACCUUACUGAUACCCUGGUCACAGAACGGAAGUUGAUAUAAUUAAAAUAAUUGCUUCUAAAUGAA